GCUAGCAGUCUGUCAAGGCUGUCUGAUCUUGGAAGGUCUGAUCUUGGAAGCUAAGCAGGGUCGGGCCUAGUUAGUACUUGGAUGGGAGACCAUCUAGGAAGACCAGGUGCUGUAGGCG
rnacentral:rRNA from 1 species